AAGAAUCGUACCCCGUACCGAUGUAUGUUUUCUUUCCUAGUGUUCCCUUUCCACUCAGUCUCCCCUCGUGGCACGAUUCAGGAACACCAAUUGGGUCAAGUUCAGGAAUGAAUUCAACACAGAACUCAAUGACCUCCUCUGUCCCAUAGCCCUCGGCGAUGCUUCCUUCUGGCCGAGCACGUUGGUGAACAUAUUUCUUCAGAACUCCAAUAAACCUCUCAAAGAGAAACAUAUUAUGUAGGAACACAGGACCCAAAAUAUUGAUCUCCU
rnacentral:lncRNA from 1 species